UGGAGGUGGGGAAAGCUGUGGGAGGGCUAGAUGCUCUGAUAUCUUGGACAGAGCGGAUACUCCUUGCCUCCAAGCGAUCUCCUCCUCCCUCCCCCUUCACAAACACGUCCCUAGCGGCAGAAGGCUCCGAUCCGCAGCAGAGCCACUUCCACCCAGCGUCAGCAGGACAAGGUAGGAUCAGGAUUUGACCUCAGUGUGCCAUCCCCUUCCUGCAUGGUGAGAAGGAACUGGACUUGGGGUAUAGAAAUGAGAACUUAAAUUCUGUCAGUUUAGUUGGAUGGAUGACAUUGAUUCAACCUCUUUUCCCCCAUGGUGACUGCAGAAGAUAUAAAUUUGGAACGCCACCCCAGUAGGGUUGGUUAUUGAGUUAUACCCUAGUCUCAUGGAAAUAAGUCUUUCAGUGAAACUUCAAAUCUGCCUUAACCAAGGCUCCCUAUCAUCAGGACCAGGACUAUCUGCAACAGGGAACAGCUCCAACCUGUAAGUGGCAUAACCACUCCUGUGGGAGGGACUGAGUCUAUAAAUACACUGAAUGCCUGCAGCCACAUAAGCACAGCUGCUGAUGCAGCAGAGCAGCCAGAAAGAGGUGCAUUUAAUUAACCAAGAGAAAGAAAAGGACCUGGGAUGGAAGUGGAGAGAUGGAAAAUACGGAAACAAGGUGUGCGCCUUCUAUACAGCUCACUCUAGGCGAGAUGGGUUGGAAGGAAAGAAGUCAAGAGGAAAAACAACUCGUUUGAAUUUGCAAGAACAGGUGGCUUUUCAAGCCCUCUGGCCCCCAAUCCAUGUGAUCCUAUUUAUCCUCCCUCCUAAGUUGCUAGACCUCUGUUUGGGUAGGAGCUGAUGGUCCACCAUUGCA